rnacentral:rRNA from 1 species
CGGCAAGAGCUCAAAUUUGAAAUCUGGCCCCUUUGGGGUCCGAGUUGUAAUUUGCAGAGGAUGCUUCGGGUGCGGUCCCCGUCUAAGUGCCCUGGAAAGGGCCGUCAUAGAGGGUGAUAAUCCCGUCUGGGAUGGGCGGCCGCGCCCGUGUGAAGCUCCUUCGAC